rnacentral:rRNA from 1 species
UAGGGAAUCUUCGGCAAUGGGGGCAACCCUGACCGAGCAACGCCGCGUGAGUGAAGAAGGUUUUCGGAUCGUAAAGCUCUGUUGUAAGUCAAGAACGGGUGUGAGAGUGGAAAGUUCACACUGUGACGGUAGCUUACCAGAAAGGGACGGCUAACUACGUGCCAGCAGCCGCGGUAAUACGUAGGUCCCGAGCGUUGUCCGGAUUUAUUGGGCGUAAAGCGAGCGCAGGCGGUUUGAUAAGUCUGAAGUUAAAGGCUGUGGCUCAACCAUAGGUCGCUUUGGAAACUGUCAAACUUGAGUGCAGAAGGGGAGAGUGGAAUUCCAUGUGUAGCGGUGAAAUGCGUAGAUAUAUGGAGGAACACCGGUGGCGAAAGCGGCUCUCUGGUCUGUAACUGACGCUGAGGCUCGAAAGCGUGGGGAGCGAACAGG